rnacentral:rRNA from 1 species
AGUGAACGCUGGCGGUAGGCCUAACACAUGCAAGUCGAACGGCAGCACAGUAAGAGCUUGCUCUUACGGGUGGCGAGUGGCGGACGGGUGAGGAAUACAUCGGAAUCUACUUUUUCGUGGGGGAUAACGUAGGGAAACUUACGCUAAUACCGCAUACGACCUACGGGUGAAAGCAGGGGAUCUUCGGACCUUGCGCGAUUGAAUGAGCCGAUGUCGGAUUAGCUAGUUGGCGGGGUAAAGGCCCACCAAGGCGACGAUCCGUAGCUGGUCUGAGAGGAUGAUCAGCCACACUGGAACUGAGACACGGUCCAGACUCCUACGGGAGGCAGCAGCGGGGAAUAUUGGACAAUGGGCGCAAGCCUGAUCCAGCCAUACCGCGUGGGUGAAGAAGGCCUUCGGGUUGUAAAGCCCUUUUGUUGGGAAAGAAAAGCGGCAGGUUAAUACCCCGCUGUUCUGACGGUACCCAAAGAAUAAGCACCGGCUAACUUCGUG